GACGAACGCUGGCGGCGUGCUUAACACAUGCAAGUCGAACGGAAAGGCCCUGCUUUUGUGGGGUGCUCGAGUGGCGAACGGGUGAGUAACACGUGAGUAACCUGCCCUUGACUUUGGGAUAACUUCAGGCAACUGGGGCUAAUACCGGAUAGGAGCUCCUGCUGCAUGGUGGGGGUUGGAAAGUUUCGGCGGUUGGGGAUGGACUCGCGGCUUAUCAGCUUGUUGGUGGGGUAGUGGCUUACCAAGGCUUUGACGGGUAGCCGGCCUGAGAGGGUGACCGGCCACAUUGGGACUGAGGUACGGCCCAGACGCCUACGGGAGGCAGCAGUGGGGAAUAUUGCACAAUGGGCGGAAGCCUGAUGCAGCAACGCCGCGUGCGGGAUGACGGCCUUCGGGUUGUAAACCGCUGUCGCCUGUGACGAAGCGUGAGUGACGGUAAUGGGUAAAGAAGCACCGGCUAACUACGUG
rnacentral:rRNA from 1 species